UCGUUAAUUACCAUAGAGCCGUUGUCCCAGGCGGUACAUUUCUAGAAAACGCAGAAAAUUCAAUGGGAAUUUUACCUUCUGCUGUUAAUUGUUAUUGAUUGUUACGAACGGAGUAUUAUUCCUGGUAAAAGAGGAAAACUCGAAACUUCCCGACGAACGUUCAGUCUUGCGUCGACUACCGGGGAGGUAGGAGCUAAAAUGCUCCGAAGUCAAUGUAAUCCGAAGCGCGCGAAAAGCUUCAUUUCUACAUUCUCCCAUGUUUGGUGCCAAGCCAAUUGUCCGUCUCUCCAUCGAAGACUGAAUUGUCGUCAAGAAGCUUCGGUGUUCCAGGAAUAUUGUCACUUUUGUAAAACACCAAGCUGUAAGAAUUGCACAAUCGUCGUCCAUUAAAUGUUACACGUUAACGUUUGCACUUGAGAAUAAACGAGUAUAUUAACGACGCUGGUCGAAGAACAAAGGAUUUCCGGCGUGUCGCAUGUUACAACGGUACUCCCUGGUUGAUUGAGUACAGUCGUCAAGUUCAUCAUUCCAGUUUCCAUGAUUUUGUUUAUUCGUUGCCAAGCAUCAUUAUUUGCUUCAAGCGGGCGCGUAUAGCGUAAUUUUCCAUAUUUCAGUUUCGGGAAAGUCCGUUUUGCCACGGAAUUCAACUUUAUGGGGCAUUUAAUUAUAAUAUCUUGCAGCAAAAUACACGUUUCAAUUUA